rnacentral:rRNA from 1 species
GACGAACGCUGGCGGCGUGCUUAACACAUGCAAGUCGAACGGAAAGGCCCUGCUUUUGUGGGGUGCUCGAGUGGCGAACGGGUGAGUAACACGUGAGUAACCUGCCCUUGACUUUGGGAUAACUUCAGGAAACUGGGGCUAAUACCGGAUAGGAGCUCCUGCUGCAUGGUGGGGGUUGGAAAGUUUCGGCGGUUGGGGAUGGACUCGCGGCUUAUCAGCUUGUUGGUGGGGUAGUGGCUUACCAAGGCUUUGACGGGUAGCCGGCCUGAGAGGGUGACCGGCCACAUUGGGACUGAGAUACGGCCAAGACUCCUAGGGGAGGCAGCAGUGGGGAAUAUUGCACAAUGGGCGGAAGCCUGAUGCAGCAACGCCGCGUGCGGGAUGACGGCCUUCGGGUUGUAAACCGCUUUCGCCUGGGACGAAGCGUGAGUGAAGGUAAUGGGGAAAGAGGCACCGGCUAACUAAG